AUUACGUGCUGAUCUCAUAAGGGGAGCAUUAAGUUCGUGGUUUGCCAAGAGUUCAUUUCCAAGUAAUGCUGAUACACUAGUUGCCAAAAAAAAUGCCAUUUAAUGUUUCAGUGAAGAAGUGAUUUAUUGUCAAAAAUGUUUCCAGAUGUUCAAAUUCACCUUCCCUUUAAAAAGCCACAUUUUUGAAAGUGAACGACCUUGACUUGCAGCCACCCCGUCACAUGAUUCAUUGUUGUUUAAUAUGUUGAAAGGAAUGAAAGGAAGAUGCCUAUUUAUUUUGCCACCCUGUGUUCUUAGCCCAGGAAAUCCCCACUGCAAAUGCACCACGAGUCAGCGGCGAAAGAGGCUCGCAGGAGCUGCGUGGGGAAGCUUGUGCCCCAUCUGGUUCGAGUCUUUUGAACUCCGGGGAGGAUUGCCAUACGUCUGCUGCUCGUGAGAACUUCGGCUCUUGCUGCCUCCCAUUACCAAAGAAAGGAGGAGGCCGGACUUCUGGGCGACCUCUGUCAUUCCAUACAACGCUCUAUAGAACUUCCUCCCGAGAGACUUUUCCAUCUUUCAUGGAGCAGCAGGAAGUUGGAGAGUUUGGGGCUCCUGCUGAGCGCAGAGCCUUCUGGAAGCAGCUGAACAGUGUGCCUCACAGCUUUGCUCUGUGUUUUGUCCCUGUGUCCAUGGCUCUAAGUUUCACCUAUUCCAGUGCGUGUCUAAACCACAGAUUCUUGGAUCUGAAAUUGGAAAGCUCACACCCCGGACCUCUGUGGCCAGGGGAUGUGUAG
rnacentral:lncRNA from 1 species